GGUUCCAUAGUCUAGUGGUUAUGACUCUCGGUUCUGAUCCGAGCAGCCCCGGUUCGAACCCGGGUGGGACCU